CUCGCGAGGGGGAGAAGAUACUUACGCGGUGCGGAGAGCAGUGGGACCGAGCCUUUUUUUGCAGGCGGAGAGAGGAAAACCCGCGCGCGCACACACACGAUGGCAAACCUUUCCUACAGAAGCCGCCCAUCUGACCAACAAAACCACAGGACAAAAAGUUCUAUUCAAGGAGGGAACAAUAAGAAGGCAAAAAAGGUCAACAUUCCUAGGUGCCCCUGCAAACUGCUGUGUUCCCGGGACCACGACACCUUACCUGCUGACUCCUGCAUGCUCAUUGCAGUGUCUAAGGGAACAAGUGAGUAUCUGAAGGCACCUGGGCCAGGCUGAGAAGCCCAGCUAUCAGAAUCCACCCUCCUGAUUUGUCAACACAAUGACCCUUCAGACCAGGAG